rnacentral:rRNA from 1 species
AGUUAAAAAGCUCGUAGUUGGAUUUCGGGUGUGGGGCGCCGGUCCGCUUCGGUGUGCACUGGCGGCCCAGGCCUUCUUGUCGGGGAUGCGCUCUGGUAUUGAUUUAUCGGACGCAGAGUCGGCGCAGUUACUUUGAAAAAAUUAGAGUGUUCAAAGCAGGCUUUCGCUUGAAUACAUUAGCAUGGAAUAACAUGAUAGGACUCCGAUCCCAUUGUGUUGGUCUUCGGGACUGGAGUAAUGAUUAAGAGGGACAGUUGGGGGCAUUCGUACUUCAUUGUCAGAGGUGAAGUUCUUGGAUUUAUGAAAGACGAACUUCUGCGAAAGCAUUUGCCAAGGAUGUUUUCAUUAAUCAAGAACGUAAGUUGGGGGCUCGAAGAUGAUUAGAUACCAUCGUAGUCUCAACCAUAAACGAUGCCGACUAGGGAUUGGCGGAUGUUACUUGAUGACUUCGCCAGCACCUUGUGAGAAAUCAAAGUCUUUGGGUUCCGGGGGGAGUAUGGUCGCAAGGCUGAAACUUAAAGGAAUUGACGGAAGGGCACCACCAUGGCGUGGAGCCUGCGGCUUAAUUUGACUCAACACGGGGAAACUUACCAAGGUCCAGACACAGUUGAUGAUUGACAGAUUGAGAGCUCUU